UCUCGCUCAAUCAUAAGAGUCAACUGCCUUAACCGGGAUUCCACCCAGCCUUUCCAAGAUCGCAAGUCAUCAACAUCUGCCGCGACUAUGUCAACCUGCAGGUAGUUUUUGUAGCUUUCAAAGAACAAGUGUGGCUCAAACAGAGUACUCCAUUGGGCUUUAUUCAGCUCUAUAUCCUCACAGAUCUUGUUACCAUACUGGAACUGCUCCAUCAUGACCCGUAGUGUACUCGUUGAUACAUUGUAGCUAGAAUUCAUGCAUGGAUAGGCGGGGGUUAUUAUUGGCAUAUGAUGAGUUCG
rnacentral:misc_RNA from 1 species